GAAAUGCGAUAAGUAAUGUGAAUUGCAGAAUUCAGUGAAUCAUCGAAUCUUUGAACGCACAUUGCGACCGCCAGUAUUCUGGCGGGCAUGCCUGUUCGAGCGUCAUCUCAACCAUCAAGCUUUGAGCUUGUGUUGGAGCCCUGCGGCUGUCCGCAGGCCCCUAAAUACAGUGGUGGGCUCGCUAUCACACCGAGUGCAGUAGUUUUCUUUCUCGCUCAGCGCGUGUAGUCGGUGCUAGCCGUGAAACCCGAUUUUCACAAGGUUGACCUCGGCUCAGGUAGGAAUACCCGCUGAACUCAA
rnacentral:misc_RNA from 1 species